GAUGAAGAACGCAGCGAAAUGCGAUAAGUAAUGCGAAUUGCAGAAUUUCCGUGAGUCAUCGAAUCUUUGAACGCACAUUGCGCCCACUGGUAUUCCGGUGGGCAUGCCUGUUCGAGCGUCAUUUCAACCAUCAAGCCCCAGGCUUGUGUUGGAGCCCUGCGGCUGCCGCAGCCUCCCAAAACCAGUGGCGGGCUCGCUAUCACACCGAGUGCAGUAGUUUACUCUUCGCUCAGGGCGUGUGGCGGGUGCUAGCCGUGAAACCCCCAACUUCUCAAGGUUGACCUCGGAUCAGGUAGGAAUACCCGCUGAACUUAAGCAUAUCAAUAAGCGGAGGA
rnacentral:misc_RNA from 1 species